rnacentral:lncRNA from 1 species
CGCAGGCAGGGCAGCAAAGCCCUAUAAGUUAGAUUUGUUUUUUUUUCUUUGUGUGAGUAUUGAGGCCAGUGGGCCUUGUAUUAUAUAUACAAUGUUAAUGUCGGAUAUAGAUAUUUGUAUAACUGCUCUUUUUUAGGCUUUUUUCCUAAGUGUGUUAUUUUCUUUUGCCUUAUGCCGAUCCGACCUCGGCAACGCGAGGUCGGGUGAGCUACUUAGAGUUUUGCGCUAGCCAGAGUCCCCAAGCCUAAGUCUUUUUCCUUUUUCCUUAGUGACUUUUAGGAGUCCGAAUCCGUCCCCCGAAUCUAAGGUGAGUAGAGGCGGUCUUUGCUCGUG